UCGUCUACCAUUCUCGCCAGCGGCGAGCG
rnacentral:sRNA from 1 species